UCUAAGAUUAUUACAUUUGUGAUGUGCUUUUUAGUGAGUAAAGUUCUUACAGUCCAUGGAUAAGAUACUCGGCUUUGUUCUUGAAAAAUUUAUGUGAGCAUUUUAUAUCAAACAAUCUGAUUAAUUAUUAUGAGCAUUAUUAAUAAAAUUCGACGAUUUGUAUACUACUUACCUGGAAAAAAAUUUGGAUAUUAUAGGUUUGUAGAUAUUUUAUUAUAUCAAUAAAUUAUAUUUAUAAGUAAUCAUUAAUAAUUAAUUAUAUUUAAAAAUAAUAUAUUGUAGGGCUAUCCCAAUAUUUUUUAUUGCUGGGGCCGGAUUAGAAUAUUUAAUGAUAACAUGGCGUCCAUUUGGUAUUAAUUUCUACGAAGUAUAUAAACGUAAAGAAGCAGAAAAAAUAGCUGCCAAAAGAAUAAAAGAAGAAAAAAACUAAUGCCUGGAAAUAUAUCUAAGGUGGCAUAUGUGAAGUUUUCACUUAUAGCUUUAACCUCUAUGAUGUUUGGAUCACAACUUGUACAUAAUAGAUAUAAGCCACUUGAUGAUUUAGAUGAAUAUGUAGAAAAAGAAAUUGAAAAACUUAAAGCCACCAAGGAUUUGGGAUUAUAAUUAAUUAACUGACUUAGUUUAAAAUUGUAUUAUCAGUAACAGAGUAAAUACACAGUAAAUAAAUAAAAUAAUUUUAUAAAAAAAUUACAUAUUUAUUUUUUAUUUUUAAAUUUGUUUAAAAAACAUUAAGACUAACAUAUUUGAUUGAAAGAAUUUAUGCAUGCGUUUAUAUAUAUUUUGGUUUUUUUUUUAUAAAUAUAUUUAUACAAUUUUAAUAGUAGCUGACAAUUGUAUUACAGGGUUAAUUAAUGGUAUUAUGUAAAUACAGAUUGUAUUAUUUUAGAAAGAUUUUACUGUCAAAUAACAGGUAAAAAAAGAUAUACAUUUUAACAUAUAUUUUAUAAUUGUCAUAAACUUAGCAAACAUAUUAUUUUAGGUUCCAAAUAGAAGUAAUCAGGUAAAAAUGAAGUAAAUUUUAUUAUGAACAUAAACUACAUUUUUCAGUGUACAUCCAUUAAAAAAAAAUUAAAUAUUAUGUAAAUAGUGU